UGGGCAUAGUUAUUGUGUAUAUUGUGUAUAGUUAUUGUGUAUAAUGUGUAUAGUUAUUGUGUAUAAUGUGUGUAUUUAUUGUGUAUAAUGUGUAUAGUUAUUGUGUAUUAUUGUACAUCACACAUGACAUUCUGAACUGGGUUAACUUGGCUGGCGUGUGUAGAAGCAGAUGGGUGCACACAUAUUGUGGUGAGAUGGUGAGAAGGAAGCUUUGUCAUCAGCAUCCUCAGAUGUGUGAGGCCUGUGUGAGGUAGUG
ensembl:lncRNA